CGACCGGCGCACGGGUGCGUAACGCGUAUGCAACCUACCUGUAACAGGGGGAUAACACUGAGAAAUCGGUACUAAUACCGCAUAACACUAUGAGAGGCAUCUCUUGUGGUUGAAAGUUUCGGCGGUUACAGAUGGGCAUGCGUUGUAUUAGCUGGUUGGUAAGGUAACGGCUCACCAAGGCGACGAUACAUAGGGGGACUGAGAGGUCAACCCCCCACAUUGGUACUGAGACACGGACCAAACUCCUACGGAAGGCAGCAG
rnacentral:rRNA from 1 species